rnacentral:misc_RNA from 1 species
GAUGAAGAACGUAGCGAAAUGCGAUAAGUAGUGUGAAUUGCAGAAUUACCUGAAUCAUCGAAUCUUUGAACGCACAUUGCGCCCCCUGGUAUUCCUGGGGGCAUGCCUGUUCGAGCGUCAUUAACAACCAAUCGGGCGGGGCUUUUGCAUGCUCCCGCUCGGCCAUGGGGGAUGGACGUCGUCGGACGCCCACCCCCGAAAUGCAACAGCGGACGGCCACCCGUGGCACUGCGGCGUAGUAAGUUAACCCUUCGCGCGCGCCCACGGAGUGGACUGCCCGGCCGCUUGAACCCCCACACAUCCUACGGUUGACCUCGGAUCAGGUAGGGAUACCCGCUGAACUUAAGCAUAUCAAUAAGCGGAGGA